UAAGCAUAUCAAUAAGCGGAGGGAAAAGAAACCAACAGGGAUUGCCCUAGUAACGGCGAGUGAAGCGGCAACAGCUCAAAUUUGAAAUCUGGCCUCGGCCCGAGUUGUAAUUUGCAGAGGAAGCUUUAGGCGCGGUACCUUCUGAGUCCCCUGGAACGGGGCGCCAUAGAGGGUGAGAGCCCCGUAUAGUUGGAUACCAAGCCUGUGUAAAGCUCCUUCGACGAGUCGAGUAGUUUGGGAAUGCUGCUCAAAAUGGGAGGUAAAUUUCUUCUAAAGCUAAAUACCGGCCAGAGACCGAUAGCGCACAAGUAGAGUGAUCGAAAGAUGAAAAGCACUUUGAAAAGAGGGUUAAAUAGCACGUGAAAUUGUUGAAAGGGAAGCGCUUGUGACCAGACUUGCGCCGGGCAGAUCAUCCGGUGUUCUCACCGGUGCACUCUGCCCGGCUCAGGCCAGCAUCGGUUCUCGCGGGGGGAUAAAGGCCCUGGGAACGUAGCUCCUCCGGGAGUGUUAUAGCCCAGGGCGCAAUGCCCUCGCGGGGACCGAGGUUCGCGCAUCUGCAAGGAUGCUGGCGUAAUGGUCAUCAGCGACCCGUCUUGAAACACGGACCAAGGAGUCAAGGUUUUGCGCGAGUGUUUGGGUGUAAAACCCGCACGCGUAAUGAAAGUGAACGUAGGUGAGAGCUUCGGCGCAUCAUCGACCGAUCCUGAUGUUUUCGGAUGGAUUUGAGUAGGAGCGUUAAGCCUUGGACCCGAAAGAUGGUGAACUAUGCUUGGAUAGGGUGAAGCCAGAGGAAACUCUGGUGGAGGCUCGCAGCGGUUCUGACGUGCAAAUCGAUCGUCAAAUCUGAGCAUGGGGGGCGAAAGACUAAUCGAACCAUCUAGUAGCUGGUUACCGCCGAAG
rnacentral:rRNA from 1 species